GGCUCAGGAUGAACGCUAGCUACAGGCUUAACACAUGCAAGUCGAGGGGCAGCAUGAACUUAGCUUGCUAAGUUUGAUGGCGACCGGCGCACGGGUGAGUAACGCGUAUCCAACCUGCCCUUGUCCACCGGAUAACCCGUCGAAAGGCGGACUAACACGGUAUGCAGUCCACAGCAGGCAUCUAACGUGGACGAAAUGCGAAGGAGAAGGAUGGGGAUGCGUCUGAUUAGCUUGUUGGCGGGGUAACGGCCCACCAAGGCGACGAUCAGUAGGGGUUCUGAGAGGAAGGUCCCCCACAUUGGAACUGAGACACGGUCCAAACUCCUACGGGAGGCAGCAGUGAGGAAUAUUGGUCAAUGGACGGAAGUCUGAACCAGCCAAGUAGCGUGCAGGAUGACGGCCCUAUGGGUUGUAAACUGCUUUUAUAUGGGGAUAAAGUGGGUCACGUGUGGCUUAUUGCAGGUACCAUAUGAAUAAGGACCGGCUAAUUCCGUG
rnacentral:rRNA from 1 species